UGUUGCCGCGGUAAUGAUUUGAAUAGCUCAGAGAGUCGGCCGGCGCUGCAUCCAUCAGGGAAUACGGGACGUAUUGAUGUUUACACGCAGUAAUAGAUCUCAGAUUGUUGUGGAGGCAGCGGGGAGCGGCAGGCUCAAGUGUUAACGGAGGAAUUUUAAUGGAAAAGUUUGGCCUUUCACUGUAAAACCACUCGGCUCUGCAGAGCGUCGACGCUCUGUUUACUCCAAGACGAAGCCUGAGAGACGCUCUGAACCUCUGAAGCUUUGUGACGAGACAGAGGAAUAAACUCACCGAUGAAGCAACCCAGAAGAGACGAUGUGUUUCAGUUCCGGUCUGAUUCAUUCUCACUCCGACAAGCUGAGAGCAGUGAACAUCAGGUCACAGACGCUGACAGGUGAAGGAACUAAUUGAUUGGACAGUUUUGGUGACGUCAUCCUGCAUCAUCAGGGAAAGAAAGUCACAUUCUGGUAGCUGAAAGCAGUAACUGCAGACUGUGCUUCUGAUUCCUGGAUCAGAACCAGGUUCAGAACCGGGUUACAGUACCAUAACUGCUCCGUGCUGCUGAUGACUGACAGACUGAAGGAGUAUCAAUCAUCCCCGCCGCCCGUCACUGCUGGUAGUCCUGAGGACGAUCUGUACAAGAACCACCCUGAGCAGCAGAGACAGGUCAACGUCCCGUUAACUCGAGUCCACUCGGCAGACGUCCUGGAGCCAAGUGUUUCUGAGACCCGACCCGACCCGACUCUCAGCUGCAUGUAAAAAAUCACCAGUAAAACCUGAUGAAAGUGAUGAAAACGUUCAGAGACUUUUCCUCAGAGCAAAAACACCGACACCGACCCGUGUUACAGCUCAGCCUACGAUCUGUCACGUCAGAUACUGACAGCAGAGACCAGAUACUGUCAGUGAGUCUGCAGAACAACGAACCGAUGACCAGAACAAAUGGAAGCCCAGGAUGAGACGUCCUGUGAUAAGUAGCCAGUCUUGGUCUUCACAAACAUGUCUGGAAAUGUCUGCAGGUG